rnacentral:lncRNA from 1 species
AUGCGUUUCCUUGGUUACCGCUGUAAACAAAGCACUUAUGAACACCGCAGCAGGUGGAGCUUAAUGCGUUUCCUUGGUUACCGCUGUAAACAAAGCACUUAUGAACACCGCAGCAGGUGGAGCUUAAUGCGUUUCCUUGGUUACCGCUGUAAACAAAGCACUUAUGAACACCGCAGCAGGUGGAGCUUAAUGCGUUUCCUUGGUUACCGCUGUAAACAAAGCACUUAUGAACACCGCAGCAGGUGGAGCUUAAUGCGUUUCCUUGGUUACCGCUGUAAACAAAGCACUUAUGAACACCGCAGCAGGUGGAGCUUAAUGCGUUUCCUUGGUUACCGCUGUAAACAAAGCACUUAUGAACACCGCAGCAGGUGGAGCUUAAUGCGUUUCCUUGGUUACCGCUGUAAACAAAGCACUUAUGAACACCGCAGCAGGUGGAGCUUAAUGCGUUUCCUUGGUUACCGCUGUAAACAAAGCACUUAUGAACACCGCAGCAGGUGGAGCUUAAUGCGUUUCCUUGGUUACCGCUGUAAACAAAGCACUUAUGAACACCGCAGCAGGUGGAGCUUAAUGCGUUUCCUUGGUUACCGCUGUAAACAAAGCACUUAUGAACACCGCAGCAGGUGGAGCUUAAUGCGUUUCCUUGGUUACCGCUGUAAACAAAGCACUUAUGAACACCGCAGCAGGUGGAGCUUAAUGCGUUUCCUUGGUUACCGCUGUAAACAAAGCACUUAUGAACACCGCAGCAGGUGGAGCUUAAUGCGUUUCCUUGGUUACCGCUGUAAACAAAGCACUUAUGAACACCGCAGCAGGUGGAGCUUAAUGCGUUUCCUUGGUUACCGCUGUAAACAAAGCACUUAUGAACACCGCAGCAGGUGGAGCUUAAUGCGUUUCCUUGGUUACCGCUGUAAACAAAGCACUUAUGAACACCGCAGCAGGUGGAGCUUAAUGCGUUUCCUUGGUUACCGCUGUAAACAAAGCACUUAUGAACACCGCAGCAGGUGGAGCUUAAUGCGUUUCCUUGGUUACCGCUGUAAACAAAGCACUUAUGAACACCGCAGCAGGUGGAGCUUAAUGCGUUUCCUUGGUUACCGCUGUAAACAAAGCACUUAUGAACACCGCAGCAGGUGGAGCUUAAUGCGUUUCCUUGGUUACCGCUGUAAACAAAGCACUUAUGAACACCGCAGCAGGUGGAGCUUAAUGCGUUUCCUUGGUUACCGCUGUAAACAAAGCACUUAUGAACACCGCAGCAGGUGGAGCUUAAUGCGUUUCCUUGGUUACCGCUGUAAACAAAGCACUUAUGAACACCGCAGCAGGUGGAGCUUAAUGCGUUUCCUUGGUUACCGCUGUAAACAAAGCACUUAUGAACACCGCAGCAGGUGGAGCUUAAUGCGUUUCCUUGGUUACCGCUGUAAACAAAGCACUUAUGAACACCGCAGCAGGUGGAGCUUAAUGCGUUUCCUUGGUUACCGCUGUAAACAAAGCACUUAUGAACACCGCAGCAGGUGGAGCUUAAUGCGUUUCCUUGGUUACCGCUGUAAACAAAGCACUUAUGAACACCGCAGCAGGUGGAGCUUAAUGCGUUUCCUUGGUUACCGCUGUAAACAAAGCACUUAUGAACACCGCAGCAGGUGGAGCUUAAUGCGUUUCCUUGGUUACAGCUGUAAACAAAGCACUUAUGAACACUGCAGCAGGUGGAGCUUAAAGCGUUUCCUUGGUUACCGCUGUAAACAAAGCAGCGCUGCACUUAUGAACUUUAAUAUGCUUCAUACAGAGGCAAGAUGA